rnacentral:rRNA from 1 species
GAUGAACGCUAGCGGCAGGCCUAACACAUGCAAGUCGAGGGGUAGAGGUUUUCGGACCUUGAGACCGGCGCACAGGUGCGUAACGCGUAUGCAAUCUGCCUUGUACUGAGGGAUAGCCCAGAGAAAUUUGGAUUAACACCUCAUAGUAUUUUAGUGUGGCAUCACAUUAUUAUUAAAGGUUACGGUACAAGAUGAGCAUGCGUCCCAUUAGCUAGUUGGUAUGGUAACGGCAUACCAAGGCUACGAUGGGUAGGGGUCCUGAGAGGGAGAUCCCCCACACUGGUACUGAGACACGGACCAGACUCCUACGGGAGGCAGCAGUGAGGAAUAUUGGUCAAUGGGCGCAAGCCUGAACCAGCCAUGCCGCGUGCAGGAUGAAGCAUCUAUGGUGUGUAAACUGCUUUUGUACGGGAAGAAACACUCCCUCGUGAGGGAACUUGACGGUACCGUAAGAAUAAGGAUCGGCUAACUCCGUGCCAGCCGCCGCGGUAAUAC